AGUGAACGCUGGCGGUAGGCCUAACACAUGCAAGUCGAACGGCAGCACAGUAAGAGCUUGCUCUUACGGGUGGCGAGUGGCGGACGGGUGAGGAAUACAUCGGAAUCUGCUUUUUCGUGGGGGAUAACGUAGGGAAACUUACGCUAAUACCGCAUACGACCUACGGGUGAAAGCAGGGGAUCUUCGGACCUUGCGCGAGUGAAUGAGCCGAUGUCGGAUUAGCUAGUUGGCGGGGUAAAGGCCCACCAAGGCGACGAUCCGUAGCUGGUCUGAGAGGAUGAUCAGCCACACUGGAACUGAGACACGGUCCAGACUCCUACGGGAGGCAGCAGUGGGGACUCUUGGCCACUGGGCGCCAGCCUGAUCCAGCCCUACCGCGUGGGUGAAGAAGGCCUUCGGGUUGUAAAGCCCUUUUGUUGGGAAAGAAAAGCAGCAGGUUAAUACCCCGCUGUUCUGACGGUACCCAAAGAAUAAGCACCGGCUCACUUCGUG
rnacentral:rRNA from 1 species